rnacentral:rRNA from 1 species
GUUCUAUGUGUGAAGAAGGUAUACCGUGAGGAGUGCUGGAACGCAUAGAAGUGAGAAUGCCGGUAUGAGUAGCGAAAGAUGGGUGAGAAUCCCAUCCACCGUAAGACUAAGGUUUCCAGGGGAAGGCUCGUCCGCCCUGGGUUAGUCGGGACCUAAGGAGAGACCGAAGGGUGUAUCCGAUGGACAACAGGUUGAUAUUCCUGUACUAGAGUAUGAAGUGAUGGAGGGACGCAGUAGGCUAACUAAAGCGGGCGAUUGGAAGUGCCCGUCUAAGCAGUGAGGUGUGAUAUGAGUCAAAUGCUUGUAUCUGUAACAUUGAGCUGUGAUGGGGAGCGAAGUUAAGUAGCGAAGUUGGUGACGUCACACUGCCGAGAAAAGCUUCUAGCGAUGUAUCAUACUCUACCCGUACCGCAAACCGACACAGGUAGUCGAGGCGAGUAGCCUCAGGUGAGCGA